rnacentral:lncRNA from 1 species
GUAUUGAUUUUUCUGUUAUUUUAAUAUUGUGCCGCUCCCAGCAAGCCUUUGAUUGAAUCUUAAACACUUUAAUGCUCUAUUUUUGUUUGAAGCAGAUCAGAGAUGGAGUUUGUACUAUUCACAAAGCUAACACAAUUUACGAAACAACAAAAUCAAAUUUCAAAAAGCAUCUUUAUUUUCAAGCCAAGGGAAUAAAUUUGGUAAAACUAUCGUUAUGGGGGAUGUGGCUUGGCAACGAAAGGCACGCACACGCAUUUAAUUUCUAUGCAUCCAUUUUCAUCUAAAUUAGAUUUUAACUUUAAUGCAGGGUAUGAAAAGCCUCUCUCGGGCCUUUGUUUCUGCCUCCUCUCUCCAGCCCUUGCAGGCUUUCUCCCAGCUAAUAGCUCCACAUCCUGCUUUGUCCCCCUCCCUCUUGGCAGGGGGUUUGGGCAGCCUUCUCUGGGUUCUGGCUGCAGAAGAUUCUGUUUCUGGGACCCUCCAAGGGGGCCUCUCCAGGGGGGCCUGCUCGACUGAGAUUGCCAAACAGAUAAAUCACAACUAGAUUCUGGCCAGCACCAUGCUCUCAGCUUAUUUUGUGGUUUAGAGCAGGGGCUGAUGAAUUAGGGUCCAUGGGCCACUUAUUCUUUUGAUGCCCCGCCCCCAGUCCAGCUAAGAAUGAAUUUCACAUUUUUUAGUACUUUCUUUUUUUUCCCCAUAUUUUUGUUGGUGCAUUAUCAUUAUACAAAAUAGUGGAUUUGUUGUUGUAUAUCUGAACCUACACACCAUGCCACAGUACAAUUUGGUCAAUGUGGUUCCCCAGGAUCUCCCCUUUCCCUUCCUCUCCAUCCCCUGACCCCUCUCUCCUCUAUUUUCAUGAGAUCCCUAUCUCCACCUUUAUUUUCCUUUUUUUCCUCUCUAGCUUCCACACAUGAGAGAAAACAUAUGAUGACCAUUGACUUUCUGCAUGUUUGACUUAUGUCACUUAACAUAUCGCUCAAGUUUCAUUCAUUUUCCUGCAAAUGACAUAAUUGCAUUCUUUAUAGCUCUGAAUACCAUAUUUUCUUUUCCCAUUCAUCCAUUGAUGGACACCUAGGCUAGUUCCAUAACUUGGCUAUUGUGAAUUGUGCUGCUGCUGUAAACAGAGGCAUGCCUGUGUCACUACAGUCUGCCGACUAGACUCAUUCUUCAGGAUAAAUACCGAGGAGUGGCAUAGCUGGGUCAUGCGGUGGUUCUGUUUCUAGUCUUUUGAGGAACUGCCGUACUGACUUCCACAUUGGCUGAACUAACUCCACAAUUCCACCAAUAGUAUAAAAAUGUUCCUUUUCUCCGUGUCCUUUCCAGCGUUUACUAUUUGUAUUCUCCAUGGUUGCCAUUCUAAUUGGAAUGAGAUGUAAUUGCAGUGGACUUUUGAUUUGCAUUUCCUUAAUUGCUAACGACAUUGAACUUUCUCAUAUAGCUGUUGGCCAUUGAAUUUCUUCUUUUGAGAAGUGUCUGUUUAGCUCAUUUGCUCAUUUGUUGAUGAGGUUGGGGUUUUUUUUGUUUUGUUUUGUUUUGUUUUUUGGUGGGGGGAGGUGUGUUUUGAAUUCUUCAUAUAUUUUGGAUCUUAACCUUCUGUCAGAGGAGUAGUACUUUCAUAGCAAUAUUUUCUUCCAUUCCAUAAGUUCUCCCUUCACACCCUUGUUUCCUUUGCUGUGUAGAAGCGUUUUAAUUUGAUGUUGUCCUACUGAUUAAUUCUUGGUAUUAUUUUCUGAGCUUUAGGAAUUCUGUUAAGGAAGUCAUUGCCUGAGCCUAUAUGUUGGAGUAUUAACCCUACAUUUCUACCAGUUGCAAAGUCUAAUUCCUAGGUCUUUGAUACAUUUUGAGUUGAUUUUUGUGCAGGGUGACAGGGAUUUAGUUUCAUUUUACUGCAUAGGGAUAACCAGGUUUCCCAGCACCAUUGUUUAAAAGACUGUCUUUUGUCCAAUGGUUGUAUUUGGUGACUUUGUCAAGAAUCAAAUGACAGUGUCUGUGCAGGUUGAUCUCUGUGACUUCAAUUCUCUUCUACUAGUCUAUUUGUUUUUCUGCCAGGACCAUGCAGUUUGGGUUACUACAGAUCUGCAAUACAGUUUGAAGUCAGGUAUUAUGUUGCCUCCCCCAUUGCUCUUUUGGCUCAGAAUUGCUUUAGCUAUUCCAGGUCUUUUAUUCUUUCAAAUGAAUUUUAGUACUGUUUUUCCUAGUUCUGUUAAGAAUGCCAUUGGUAUUUUGAUGGGGAUUUCAUUGAAUCUUUAGAUUAUUUUCAGCAAUAUAGCCAUUUUAACAAUGUUGAUUCUGUCUAUCCAUAAACAUGGGAGAUCUUUCCCUCUUCUAGUAUCUUCUUCCAUUUCUUUCUUCAGAGUUCUAUAAUUUUCAUUGUAGAGCUCUUUCACCUCCUUGGUUAAAUUUAAAGGGUUUUUAAAAUUUUUUUUAAUUUGUUUUAAUUAGUUAUGCAUGCCAGUAGAAUGCAUUUAUGCCCUUUGAUAAUGCCAUUAUUUAAUUCUUCUUUAAAGUUGAAUAAUAUUCUAUUGAAUAUAUAUACCACAUUUUCUUUAUCCAUUCAUCUAUUGAAGGACACCUAGGUUGGUUCCAUAGUUUAGCUAUUGUGAAUUGAGCUGCUAUAAAUAUUGACAUGGCCACAUCACUGUAGUAUGCUGAUUUUAAGAUCUUUGGGUAUAAACUAAGGAGUGGGAUAUCUAGGUCAAAUGGUGGUUCCUUUCUGAGUUUUCUGAGGAGUCUCCAUACUGCUUUCCAGAGUGGUUGCACCAAUUUGCAGUCCCACCAGCAAUUUAUGAGUGUAACUUUUACUCCAUAUCCUUGCCAACAUUUAUUUUUUGUCUGUGUUCUUGAUGAUUGCCAUUCUGACUGGAGUGAGAUGAAAUUUUAGAGUAGUUUUAAUUUGCAUUUCUCUAAUUGCUAGAGAUGUUGUACAUUUUUUCAUAUAUUUUUUGAUCAAUUGUAUUUCUUCUUCUGUGGAGUGUCUGUUCAGUUCCUUAGCCCAUUUAUUGAUUGGGUUAUUUGUUGUUGUUGUUUUGUUUUGGUGUUAAGUUUUUUAAGUUCUUUAUAUAGCUAAGAGACUAAUGAUUUAUCCAAGGUACAUGUGGCAAAGAUUUUCUCCCAAUCUGUAGGCUUUGUCUUCACAUUAUUUUUUUUUUCUUUUGCUGAGAAGAAGCUUUUUAGUUUAAAUUCAUCCAUUUAUUGAUUCUUGAUUUCACUUCUUGUGCUUCAGGGGUAUGGUUAAGGAAGUAACAAAAUGAAAUUAAACCUCUGUCUCUCACCCUACACAAGACUCAAAGUAGAUCAAAGACUUAGGCACUAGAACAGAGACCCUGCACCUACUAGAAGAAAAAGUAGGCCCAAAUCUUCACCAUGUCAGCCUAGGAUCUGCCUUCCUUAGCUAGGAAGUCCUAGAGUUUUUAUAGGUUUUUUUUUUCUUCCUUUGUGAGUGCAUGUAUUUGUUUUUGUUUUUGAGGAUAUUAUGAAUGGGCUUAUUUCCAGCGAAUUCAUUAUUGGUGUACAGGAAAGCUAUUUAUUUUUAUGUGGAUUUUUUAUUCUGCUACUUUUCUGAAUUUUUAUAUUAGUUCUAACAAUCUUCUGGUGGAACAUCAUAUUAUCUGCAAACAGUAGUACUCUGACUUCUUACUUUUCUCAUUUAAUCUCUUUAAUUUUCUUCUCUUGACUAUUUGCUUUGGCUAGAAUUUCAAGUACUAUAUUGAAUAAGAAUAGGUAAAGUGAAAAUCCUUGUCUUCUUCUUGAUUUUAGAGAAAAUACUUUCAGUUUUUCUCUAGUGACUAGGAUGUUGGCUUUUGGGUUGUCAUACAUAGCCUAGUUUCUUCAGUGUUUUUAUAAUGAAUUGGUGCUAAAUUUUAUCAAAGGCUUCCUCUGCAUCUAUUGGGAUAACUAUGUGAUUUUUGCCCUUAAUUCUAUUAAUGUGAUGGACUACAUUUAUUGAUUUGCAUAUGUUGAACCAUCCCUGCAUCCCUGCAAUGCAAUCAACUUGGCCAUGAUGUAUAAUCUUAAUGUGUUGGAUAUAAUUUGCUAAUAUUUUAUUAAGAAUUUUGGCAUCUAUGUUAAUCAGGGAUACUGGUCUUUCCUUGAUGAUUUAAUGGUUCCUUAAAAAUGCAAAAGAGAAG